CAAUAGCGUAUAUUAAAGUUGUUGCAGUUAAAAAGCUCGUAGUUGAAUUUCUGUCAGGAGUGACAGGGCCUUUGGAUGAACUUCCAUUGUUUUUUGCUCUGUUUGUCAUCUCUAGACAUCCUGAAAUAUUUUUUAAAAAUAUUUCUCUUUUACUGUUAGCAAAAUAGAGUGUUCCAAGCAAAGCGUAGUUUUGAAUACAUUAGAAUGGAAUAAUAAGAUAGGACUUUGGUGCUAUUUUGUUGGUUUGCACACCAAGGUAAUGAUUAAUAGGGACAGUUGGGGGUAUUCGUAUUUAAUUGUCAGAGGUGAAAUUCUUGGAUUUAUGAAAGACGAACUACUGCGAAAGCAUUUACCAAGGAUGUUUUCAUUAA
rnacentral:rRNA from 1 species